rnacentral:tRNA from 2 species
GGGCCCGUAGCGCAGCUGGGAGCGCGUUGCGUUCGCAUCGCAAAGGUCGGGAGUUCGAUCCUCCUCGGGUCCACCA